UUCCUCCAGGCCUCCAACUCUUCAGCCGCCAUCUCAAAAAAUAAAAUCUUCAACCUCCACCCCAGAUCUUCAACUUCUCAUGGAAGAUCCAGUCCACCGUCCUUGUCCUUCCGCUUAGGUUUGUGCUCCAUCAAGUUCGUCUCGGUUAGAUGUUGUAGUUUACAGUAAUAAAUCGAUCUAGGUUGCCUCCAGCAAUUCGCGACCCCCCUAGAUCCGGCCGGCGAGACGGGCAUGUGAUUAAUCGCAUCACGGGGUUGCCGUCACACCAGGUGCGGGACUGUGGCGUGAAUCCCAUCGCCUGGUAGAGGCAGCUUGCAGGCCUUUUCCGUGAGCGCAGUGUGGGAUUACGGAGUGAACCCCAUCUACAUGCCAUCGUUGAGAUGCUUCUGUCCUCGUAGGUUGUGAAGACCGCACCCAGGGAAAUGUACCAUGCCGAGGAUACCUAAGCAACCGUGGAAGACCAGUUUUCUAGGAUGAGAUGCAGAAAAUGUGCAACUCAGACAAAUAUUGUUUGCAAGGUCCUGCACAAAAUGAUAACAUCUCACCAGGAAUGCCUAAUGAAUCUAGUAGUCCAAUUAACAUAAUUUGUAAGUUUUGCUACUCCCUCCGAUUCAUAUUAAUUGACUCUAAUAUGGAUGUAUCUAGACAUAUUUUAGUUCUAGAUACAUCCAUAUUGAAGUCAAUUAAUAUGAAUCGGAGGGAGUAUAUUUUUUCCAACAUAUGUAUGGUUAUCAUUUCUUGAUGUUAUGCAACAGAACUUCCACUUAGUUAUCAGUAGGGGUGGGUAUUCGCCUUCCUUCAAGUAUUUCACUAUUUUGCCGGUGAUUAACUUCUAUAAGUAAACUAUGGUGGCAUCAGGACUUAUAGUGAGGUCAUAGACGUGAACCAUGUGAACUAUUUUUUUUUAUUCUUCGAGCUUGAUAUACAAGUUUUAUGUUCUAUUGUUCUGCAGCUUCGGAAGAUUAUUUGCAUUUGCUACUCUUUGUUCUGAACUGGUAAAAUUGGUUCUUCAGUAUGAUGCACCCGUAAAGCCAAAGCCAAGGUACAUACAACUUUGUUUUCUUCUGAGUUCUAAGCCUAUUUCCUCAGAUACAAGGAGUAAUUAUCUGACUCUAUAAAAUUUGAUUUAUCUAUCUGCAACCAUAUAUGUAAUCUUCUGAAGACUUUCUUAUUUGAUCAAGUACAUAACCAAGUAUCACUUUCAACGUACAUGCUUCACAUGUUGAAUCCGUAGUGUGGUGUGUGAACUAAGCUCUACUUAUCUUUUGUUUCAUACACAAGCUCUCCAUGUUUUCUACAGAACCAAGAUCUACUUUUUGUUUGUUUUCUACACAAGUAAGCAUUGUAUGUUUCUGUACAGCUGUUUAGUACAUUUAGUAAUUUUUUUUCUUGCACCAGCCGGUAGGUAUGCCGUAUGCAACAUUAUACCAACAAAAAUCCUAAAUACCAAUGUGAAGAUAUAGUCCCUCAGCGUAAGGAUACUGCUCUGAUGGUAAAACACAUGCGCUAUGUGCUUCAUUUGUGCAUAUGGAAAGUAGAACUUGUUAUUGAAAUUUAUUACCAUUUAGUUUAUGUUUCAGAUGACUUUGUCUGCAACGAAUUUUCUGUGUAGGUUUUUAUGCUACAGCACAUAACACUGCAAGGCAAAUCAACAGUAGUGGCAAUGGAGAGCGGAUUUACCAUUUCUAGAUGCCGGAAGCUUGUAGACAUAUUCCAGCUACUGGAAGAAAAUGUACAAGAUUUGGAGAAAUGUUCUUGGUCAAGUUUGUAAUUGUUUCACGAAAAUGUACAAAUCAAAUGUAAAUUAUUUCUUUCAAGAAAUAAAGUUAUUUACUCAACUAAUGCACUAUAUUUUUAAGUUU